GAUGAAGAACGCAGCGAAAUGCGAUACGUAGUGUGAAUUGCAGAAUUCAGUGAAUCAUCGAAUCUUUGAACGCACAUUGCACCUCUCGGUAUUCCGGGAGGUAUGCCUGUUCGAGCGUCAUUUGUACCCUCAAGCUCUGCUUGGUGUUGGGUGUUUGUUCCGCCUCUGUGUGUGAACUCGCCUCAAAACAAUUGGCAGCCGGCGUACUUGUUUCGGAGCGCAGCACAUUUUGCGAUCCAGAUCAACGUACAGCGGCAUCCAAGAAGCCUUAUUUAACGCUCUUGACCUCGGAUCAGGUAGUGAUACCCGCUGAACUUAAGCAUAUCAAUAAGCGGAGGA
rnacentral:misc_RNA from 1 species